ensembl:lncRNA
CACAAAUAGCAGUAAAGUCAACAAGAAUUGAAACGGGAUAUUCACCUAGAAAAAAUUGUAGGAUCUUGAUGUAAGGAUUAGAGGUGUUGAUUGAUUUGACCCAGGUCCCGGCCAUGUAUACACAAUCUGAGGGCAGUCUUCAGCAGGUCCAGAGCUCCUCUCUUCCACUCCAUCCACCAUAUGACUUUGACCUCCUCCCUUGCCCUUUGAUCCCCUGCCUUGUGAUCAACUUUUCUCUUUGUCCACUCCUGAACAGUCAACCAUGGAUAAACACCUGUAUGAGCAUCUGGCAGAUGGCAUUAUCUAUCUACCUUUUCUCCAGUCGGUACGAAGUCCUUCUUCUUGAAGAUAUAUGGCUCUUUGCGGCUCUGCAUAGACUGUGGCUGAACGACAUAACUAUUAAGAAAAGGUUGGUAUGUUUGUUCAGAGGAUCUUCAGAGGCAGCAGAACAACCCAAAAUGUCAUUAAACAUCUCACAUGUUCAGUGGCAAAGAUGACGAAGAGACCAAGUGAAUUUUAAUUUAGUAAAUCAUAUUUAAUUAGAUUUCAUCUGUUCACAAUACCUUUUCCCAAAGAUAUUCAGGUGUGUUUUAUGAAAUGAUUUUACUCUCUUUUUUCCUCGACAGAAAAGUGCUCCAGGGUCUCUGACCACAUAAACACCCUUUCACUGGAUGUGGAACAGACUGAGUAAGGUUGAGUAACCUUUUUUCUGAAAGUCAGUUUGAAUUUGUGUGCCAGUUCCUUGGGUAAGUUUUCACUGACAUACAAGCAAUUCUUUGCAGCAAUUUGUCAAAUUUAGUUUUCUCUUGAAGCCACUUCCAGGCAGGUCAAUUGAAGUUCAGUAUGCCUCAAACUACCUGUUAAUAUCAUUUAUGGUGGAAACAGGAACGUCGAGGUCUCAAGAGAUGGAGUUCUGGCCUUGAGAUAGCGUGGCUACAUCCUUGUGGCUGAUCUCCUUAGACAUUUCCAUGGAUUCCAUUCUCUAUGCUUAGAGUGGUACAUCAAAAUCAUUUUCUCUUUCAGAAUGAUUCAGUGACUUUUUAUGCUAUGCAGGCAGAAGUGAGUUCAUUUCCAAUGUAAAGGUUCUAAGGGGCGCCAGAUUCUUGAUUUGCUCGCCCAGUCCCUCUGGAUCCAGGCCCUGUUUUACAGCAGUGUUAACAUUCUCAGUUGAAACAGUAAUAAUGGCAUAUUGACAAAGCAGAUUUGGUUAAUGUUCCAGUAUGUAUUUGUAAGUGUUUUCUAUUUACAAUAUGUUUUUGCAGCAUUGGGUGGUGUAGCCAAUCACAUAUCUGCUGACUUCUUGAACACAAUAUCUAAUCAGAGGGGUUGUUCAGUUAGUUCAGAAACCACUCAAGGUUUUAUUCAGUGCUGAGUUGUGCACACUUGUGAAUUCUCUCACUAUAACAAUGUUUUGAGGUAAUGGAAAUAAGAGAUUCAUUGUGCAAGUGUAGACUGCUUCAUUGAUUAUAAUGCAGGUUAGAGCAAGAGUGAUUUCUUCAUUCAUAAUUUAAUUAAAACUUCAUGCUGCUAAGUGGACCUAUACAGUGUUAAUUUUGACAGCAAUUUUUGAUUUAGUUUUAGUUAUGGUCUCUGGACUGAAAUGGCGUUUAGUUUUAGUCAUAUUUUUCAUCUGAACUGUUUUAAUCUUAGACUAGUUUUAGUAAACUAAAUAGACUUCUACUGUAGAUUUAGUCAACUAAAAUCUAAUGGGUUUAGUUACAGUGUAAUGCAUUUAUCACUAAAAUUUAUAUGAAUGAUAUUAAAGGGUUACUCCACCCCAAAAUGAAAAUUUUGUCAUUAAUCAUAUUAAUCACUCAUUAAUCAAGUUUGUCUUCAGAAUACAAUUUAAGAUAUUUUGGAUAAAAACCGGGAGGCUUGAGACUGUCCAAUAGACUGCCAAACAAAUAACAGUGUCAAGGUCCAGGAAAGUAUGAAAAGUAUCAUCAGAAUAGUCCAUCUGCCAUCAGUGAUUCAACCGUAACGUUAUGAAGUGACGACAGUACUUUUUGUACACGAAGAAAACAAAAAUAAUGACUUUAUUCAACAAGUUGUCUCCUCUGUGUCUCUCCACACCACCGUAGUGCCAUUUUGAAAAAUAUCCACUGAACGCAAACUGCGUACGCUCAAAAUAAAAUUAAUUAAUUAAUUAAAAAACACUUCUCAUAUUGAAGCAAGAACAUGGUCCUCUUUUUAAUGAAAUACAGAUGGUUAUAUAUUAUAACAACUUGCAUACAAUAUCCCUCAUUCUUUCAAGCAGACAUAUUAAUUUAUAUAAAUUAAAUUUAGAUUAAUCCUUAUUAAGGCUACUAAAGUGAUUCAUUCAAGAGCGGUGAGUAAUUUUCUCUUUUCUUUUUUCGUUCUGACUGGAUCUCUUCCCAAUAGUCCCUCCCUAACAUUUUCAUUUUGUUUUAAUUUAUUUAUGAAAUUGUUAGUAAAUUUUUAUCAUUUUGUUAUUCAAAAAGAGUUUUAUUUCAUUACCAUCUUGCUUUCAAUGCCGAAAAUUAUGACAAAUUAUUUGUCAACAAAAUUAACACUGCCUUCCCACAUAUACAGUGUAUGCUACAAAGUAAAAGAUGUAACUGCAUUUACUGUAAAUACUGAAUUCACUCUUGCAAUUGCAAUGACUGACAUAUAGUGAUAACCAUAGCAAUGGACAGGACAAAAGUAUAUACAGUACAGUAUGUUAAAAUGUUGCGAUUGAAAUGCAAUUUAUUCUAAAGCAGGGUUGUCAAACUAAGCUACUGGAGAGCCAUAUUCCUGCAAAGCUUUGUACCUUCUCCAGUACACCUGUCACAUUGUUUGCAAGUAAUUCUAAGCAGCUCGAUUGGCUCCUUCAGGUGUGUUUAGGUAGAAUUGAAGUUAAAGUCUGCAGGACCUUGGCCCUCCAGGAAUUGAGUUUGAACCCUUGUUCAACAGCAUUUUUGGGUUUGUGGCUUACAAAACUCAGCCAUGAACAUGACACUAUUUGGCUAAGAAUCAUAGCAAAAAUGGCUGAGAAAAGUGAAGUUAGUUAUGAGAAAUAUGACAUCAUUUAUUCGUGCAAACCACUUGAUUUUUUACAAUAAUAAAGUUUAACUAAGCUUUUUGGGGUAACAUUAGUCACACAUACACACCUCUCUGAGCUAGAUAGCCAAGCAUCCCUAAAACUGUUCCUCAACCAUUUCUGUGUUAGUUAUCUGUAAUAUAACCUGAAGUACUUCUGUGAUUUAUCAGGCAUAGCUGCGUUUACUGUGUCCCAUAUCACACAGGUAUGAAUCAUCACUCCACACCCUCCCAGCUCAGAGAUUUUCAUCAGAUCGGCAGCGCCAUAAAGGAGCUUUUGUUUGUUUCUAAUUGAACGAUUGGCAGGGGUGCUAUUACUUCCUAUUGCACACAGGUAGAAUGCUUUCACACAGCAUACCGUAGAGAGUUCAGGGAAAAUAGAGAGCUGGUGCUUGACCUUUCCGGGGAUUCUUGCAGCAUAUCAGCUUCCUUAAAAUCCAAACCAAAGCUCAGUAAUCGUAACAAAAUAAGACAAACCAACAAAUAGACCGCUAGGGGCAGAACAGAACAACCCUGCUGAGAUUCGCUCAAAAUGAAGUAUUGAACAUUAAGCAAUUAAGCAAUGGAUUAGAUCAAGAUAAUCAAUUAUUAUUAUGAUUGAUUAUGAUGAUUAAUUAAUGAAUAUUUUAAUCAUAUAAUAUAUUUUUCGCAUUUGGCUCCCAAACUCUGGAAUAGCCUUCCUGAUAAUGUUCGGGGCUCAGACACACUUCCUCUGUUUAAAUCUAGAUUAAAAACACACCUCUUUGGCCAAGCAUUCAAAUAAUGCAUCUCAUAAUUUUGGACUGCAGUUAUAUCUGAUCAAAUGUGCAUUAUUAUUCUUUAACUUGGGUUAAACUAAUUAAUUUUACUUGGCUGGAACAGCAGCUAUGCUAAUUAUGUCUCUAUUUGUUUCUCUGUUUUGCCACGGGAUUUACAUCCCGUGGUAACUAGGAUUUACACAAGCUCCAGUCUGGAUCCAGAACACCUGAGAAGAGAUGAUGCCAAACCCUCAGAGGACCUCAGAUGAUGCUAACCCAGAGACAACAUACAGAACUACCACAUUUUGCUCUAAGUUUGAUUGCAUAAUUGCUGUUAAUAGUGUUAAUCGUCUGUUUGUUUACGUCUUUUAUUGAUUUUUCUGAACAUUUCUGCCGUAUGCACAUAAACUGACAGUCACCACUGAUAAGCUACUACUAAAUAUUGUAGAAACUUAAUUUUCUGUAAAGUUGCUUUGCAAUGAUUUGUAUCGUAAAAAGCGCUAUACAAAUAAACUUGAAUUGAAUUGAAUAUAGCAUAAAUUAUAAUGACUAUAAUAAUAUUAGAUUUAUUUGGUCCAUUUAACUGGGUAAUAUUACAUUUAUAUUUAUUUUAUUCUAUAUAUGUGUAUAUUACAUUCAGUGAGGUUCACUAAACAUUUGAAAAUACUACAUUAAUUAUAUAGAACUUCCUUCUUAAUCUACAAGAAGAUUAAAAUGAAAGUGCACGGACACAAACCAUAUCUUUGGGUCUUUAAGUUGGGCUCUUUUGACUUGGCUCAAAAAGCAGUCACACAACAUCCACUGUGAAGACCAAAGUAACACCCUAAAUAGACUCAUAACAUCUUAGCAACUUUAUGACUUCAGUCUUGAAAUCAUUAAAAACACCCUAGCAUUUUUUUCCCACACACACUUCUUUAAAGUUCCA